CUACCUGUCUAUUCUGGUGCCAGUACCAUGCCAAAUAACAAUCACUGGGCCAGACAGGUUAUUUUUUUUAACUCCUCCAAGUGAACACCACAAAAAAAAUUUUUUUUGUUUUUUCUGCUGGAUGCUGCCCCUUGCAGAGGGGCAGCUUGGCAGACUUUGUCGAUAAACCUUUGCUUGAACUCAGAGCCGUGUCUCUCAUGAAUAUUUGCGCCAGUUACCCGAACAUAAUGAAGACCCCCCCAAAGUAAUUUAAAGAACACUUGUGACCUUGCCUGCAUUUCAUUGGUCAUGGGUAACUACGACCUCACCCGAAGGACACCUGCCGGCCGCCGUAGCACAAAGAUGGCGCUGACGCUAUUCUGCGCAGUCACGCGCAGCAUCCCUCUCAUGCGAAAGCAGCGAGUAACUGACCCACUGGAUUAACUGAGUGUCCACGGCUGCCAUCCUCCUCACUUCAAGACACACCCUAGUGCCACCCAAAAUGUGGGCUCUCUCAGUCUCUUCGGACCUGGCCGCAGUGGAUCCCCAUCGGCAGUCGCUGAUGGUGCUCGCUAGGUGGGGAAUACAUGACUGAGUUCUUGGCACUGGAAUGGGGAAAAAGUGAUGUCUGUCACCUCCAGAGGCCCAUUGCACCUCCUACAGACUCUUCCGUGCUCUUCUGCUUCCUCAUCUAUGGGCAGGAUGUGGAGGGACCCUUGGUGGACUCAGAGACCCUGUGGGAUGUCCACCACCUAGAAGGAUCUGAGUUUCCUAACUAUCACAUAAUGUCCACUCAAUGUACACCCCAUUGCAGAGACAGGGAUGAAAAAAAAAUCAACUUUAAUGGUGUUACGUCUGAUUUGGGGUUUCUUUAUUUCAGAUUUCAGAAGUUAAAGUACCCUAAUACUCAGGCAUAGAUAUCAGCAGGCAAACAGCUUGACUCCACUUCAAUUUCUGUACAUGCAUUUUAAAAACUCAGUGAAGAGGUUACACAGACUACUUCAAUAUUUUUUAUCCCAUUUUAUUCUGUAACACAGCUAUUAUCACAUCUUAUCCUCCAAAAAUCUCAGCAAUUUCCUCCUCUAGUCGUAGCCCACACAGCCCUUAAUCUUCUACUUUCACUUCACCUCUUCCUUUCUUACUCUGCAUCAUGAAAGCUCAAAGAAUUAUUAGAAACUAGAAUUUUCUUUGAAGGUGGAAGAGAGAGAGCAUCUAAACAGCUGUCAGAGAAAAGGAGAGUCUGGGAAAGUUCAUACAUUAAUAACAAUGUAACAUUUAUAGCAGUGGUAACUUAGAAACCACCUGAAUGUCAAACUAUAGAAAAAUGGUUAAGUUAUAGUGUGUUUGUUACUGUUAUGCGAACACUGCAGACUUACUCCCAAUGCUUAUGGAGUUCGUUAUCUAAUAGCGGUAGUUAUCAAUAAAUAUGUUUUGGAAAUAUAGUCAACAAUAUGGAAAGAAAAAUAAUGGUACCAUUUUGAGUGAAGAACUACAGGUAAGAAACUGCAUAUACAGUAGUACAAUCCUAAUUUGAAAACACUUAAAUGCAUAUGUCUUUGUACAUGAAUGUAUAUGCACAUAUAUAUGUGUGUACAUCCAAAGGUUAAAGUGACAACUUUCGAAUAUUGAUAUUAUAGGAUAUUGAUUAUUGUUUCCUUUUUAUACUUUUCUAUAUUUUGAAAUUUUAGAGGUAAGUACAUUUUUUAAUAGUGAUGUGAAAGUUUUAUUAUUAUUUUAUACAUUUCCCAAAUAUUAAUAGGAUGUAUAAUUGGAAAAAAGUAUCAGUUCACAGUAAUAUCAAAUACCAUCUGAGGGGUAGAUUCCUGGCUUAGUAGAUUUUUGCCUCUGAUAAUCCAGUAGACCUGAAUUUACCUACUUGUAAUUUCCUGCCUACCUACUUAUAUUCUUUUGCUUUUCUGUAACAGACACACACGUGCACACACGCGAAUUGAAUUUUAACAACAGCAUGGAUCAUUUCCAAAGUGCAAACAAUUUGUGUUUACCUUUACUAGUUCACUACAGGUUCUAAUGGCAUGGAGCACACCUGACCUUCAAAAUAGAAGCAAUAGUAUUUCUGUCAGAUGAUUCUUAAACAAGCAAAUUUAUAUUCUUAAAAUAUGGAGAUGAAAUGGUUAACGACACUAGGCAAUUUUGUUUAAAUUUGCUGUGCUUUCUUCUUGUCAAUAUGGAAAUCUGUAGAAAUAUUAAAAUGCAAUUUAUGUUGUGUUUAAAAAAAUGAUAUUGGCUUAAUACAAUACCAAGCUUUGAAAGACUAACCCUGACAUGUGCCCCUCCUGGAAAUACCAAAAAUCAUUGAGACUAGUGAGUGAAUCAUCAUAGGUGAUUUUAAUUUAGAUUAUUAAAACAUUUCCAUAGAUGUAGAAGUCUUAGUUGAUUAAACUUUAAACUUAUCUGAUUAAAGCACUUAUUAUAUUACGGUUGAAAAGUACAGGGAAACACUUCAAUUGAUUGGAUAAUUAUGAAUUAAUAAGGAGGGUAAGACUUAGAAAAAUUGUUUCCAUAUUUAAGUGAUUGCUAUAUGAAGAAAUCAAGAAACUGAAUUGUCUUGACAUUGUUUCAAAUUGCCAACAGAAACUUUGAAGAUGCAUAAUGUCUAUAGUGACAUAAGUUUAGAUUUCUGUUCUAAUUAUUUGAGAUAUUGUUUAAAGAUAAAAUAGGAAAGUUCAACUAAAAGAAUAUAUGACCAGUUAAGUGUUAUUGGAAAGUGUCUUUAGCUAAUUUCCUUAGUUGAUUUUAGAGAUGUCUCCAGCAAAGAUGUCAUUAGGUGCCUUAGUUUGUAUUUUGCUAAUAUGACAAAAUAUCUGAGGCAGGCUAACUUUUGAAGAAAAGAGGUUUAUUUAGCUCACAGACCUGGAAACUGAGGGGCAUGAUGUAGGCAUCAGCUCAGCUCUGGUGAGGACCUCAUGACAGAUGUGUCACAAUGGUGAAAACAUGAGUGACGGGAAGAGAUUACAUCUUGACACAGGAUGCCAGAGACUGGGACAGGGGUCAGUCUUGCUUGAUUUAUAACACCUUCUUUUGAGAACUACCACGUCGUUCUAGUAUAACUACUUUAACCCCUUCUAAGAGUAGUGACUUCAAUGACACAGGGACAUUCCAAAAGCAUCUACUGCCAAAAAAUGCCCACACUACCUCCAAACAUCACUACACUAAGGACUAAACCUCCAACACAUGAACACUUGAGGGACACAUUCAAACAACAUUCAAAUUUGGUAGUACCCUAAGUGAUCAUAGAAAAGAAAGCAUCUUCUAUAAUUCUAUUGAUUCAUUGGAUCUCAGACUUGCAACUACCAUUGAUAGAGAAGAACUUGUUAGAGAAGUUAGUCCACAUAUGAGAUUUGGGAGAUGGGUGGAGAAAAGAAUAUUUGAAUACUGGACACAGUGCUUAGUUUUUUUGUGGGUGUUACUGCAUUUAAUCUUCAUGAGGAUCCUUUGAAUGCAUUUGUUGACGGAGUCCUAUUACUGUAGGGGUUAGUUUUCAGUGUCAGUAUAAAAAAUGAAAAUUGUUACCAGUUUGAACUGCUCUUCAAAAUUCUUUAGAUUGCUCAUGAGGUAAACAUUGUUUCACAUAUUCAACUAUGCAUACUAAAUAGUCAUAUAAUGUAUAUUAUGGAAUAGAGAAUUUAUACACAAAAAAGUUAAAAGUCUGAUAAAGAAAGAGAGAAGAAAAUUCUCCAGGUCAUGGGCUCAUUAUGCUCACUUAAUGAACAUAAUAAAUUAAUCAAUGAUAUCCUAUUACCUCUAUUUUUCAUAUGGGGAAACUGAAGAAUAAGAAACAUUAAAUCAGUGGUCCAGGAGUUCAUAGCUAUAGAGGCAGGAUUUAAACUUACUUGAGACUCCAUGCUCUAAACCGUAAAACUUCCUCUGCAUAUUCACUAAAUUAUAAGAAAAAUGUGCUAAACAGUAAAUCAAACUUAUGACUUUCUGGUUAAAUAUGUUGUAUUAGUAAAUUUUCCGACACUAUAACAAAUACCUGAGAUAAUCACCUUAAUUAUAGAGUUAGAGUUGUAGAGGUUUCAGUCCAUGGUCUGGAGCCUGUGGCAGUGCAUGACGGUACUUGGCAGAGCCAAACUGUUCACCUGAUGACUGGCAGCAAAACAGAGGAAAAGGAAGGGGCUGGGUUUCAUUAUCCUCUUUGAGGGCACGGCUCCAGUGACCUGAAGACCUCUGACUAGGCCACUCCUCUUGAAGGUUCUACAACCCCCCAGUAGCAACAAUCUGGGGACAAACCUGUAUCACAUGUGCCUUUGGGGUUUCUUAUCUAUACCAGAGCAUGUGUCUUUGUAAAAGCAUUUUUAAUCCUCUUUCCUCCCUUAAAACACAUCAAAAGCAAUAAAAGAAUGAAAACCAAGAAGAAGAAAAACCUGUCAUGUUCAAGGAAACUACAAAAUGGCCACAACUCCAGUCUGCAAUCUGUAAGUCAUUCCUGCCUCAAACUGUAUUCUCACCCACAGAGGAAGGAACCUGAGAGCAGGAGCCACAAAGGCCCUCAUGAAGUAGACCUUUCCUAUAAUUCCUGUCAGGCCACAGUUCACAAUGUUUCACUUUCCACAGUUUCAGCUCCAAAAACAUUGAAUGGAAAAUUCUAGAAAUAAAUGAUUCAUAAGUUUUAAGUAACUUUUAUUAAAAUGUCUUCCAAUGAUGUA